rnacentral:rRNA from 1 species
CAGCUACCCAGCAAUGGGAUGCGAAUCUCGAAAGCCUGUCUCAGUUCGGAUUGGAGGCUGAAACCCGCCUCCAUGAAGUUGGAUUCGCUAGUAAUCGCGCAUCGGCCAUGGCGCGGUGAAUACGUUCCCGGGCCUUGUACACACCGCCCGUCAAGCCAUGGGAGCCGGGGGUGCCUGAAGUUCGUGACCGCAAGGAGCGACCUAGGGCAAAACUGGUGACUGGGGCUAAGUCGUAACAAGGUACC